rnacentral:rRNA from 1 species
UACGAGGGGGGCGAGCGUUGUUCGGAAUUAUUGGGCGUAAAGGGUGCGUAGGCGGUUCGGGAAGUUUCGUGUGAAAUCUUCGGGCUCAACUCGAAGCCUGCACGAGAUACUGCCGGGCUUGAGUGUGGGAGAGGUGAGUGGAAUUUCCGGUGUAGCGGUGAAAUGCGUAGAUAUCGGAAGGAACACCUGUGGCGAAAGCGGCUCACUGGACCACAACUGACGCUGAGGCACGAAAGCUAGGGGAGCAAACAGG